rnacentral:rRNA from 1 species
ACGGCUCAGUAACACGUAGUCAACCUAACUCGUGGACGUGGAUAACCUCGGGAAACUGAGGAUAAACCGCGAUAGGCCAUCACUUCUGGAAUGGGUAAUGGUCCAAACAGUUUACUGCCAUGGGAUGGGACUGCGGCCUAUCAGCUUGUUGGUGAGGUAAUGGCCCACCAAACCUGUAACCGGUACGGGCUCUGAGAGGAGGAGCCCGGAGAUGGGCACUGAGACAAGGGCCCAGGCCCUAUGGGGCGCAGCAGGCGCGAAACCUCUGCAAUAGGCGAAAGCCUGACAGGGUUACUCUGAGUGACUUUCGCUAAGAAAGUCUUUUGGCACCUCUAAAAAGGGUGCAGAAUAAGGGGUGGGCAAGUCUGGUGUCAGCCGCCGCGGUAAUACCAGCACCCCGAGUGGUCGGGACGAUUAUUGGGCCUAAAGCAUCCGUAGCCGGUUCUGCAAGUCCCCCGUUAAAUCCAGCUGCUCAACAGAUGGGCCGCGGAGGAUUCUACAGAGCUAGGAGGCCAGUGGCGAAGGCGGCUUGCCAGAAUGCGCUCGACGGUGAGGGAUGAAAGCUGGGGGAGCAAACCGGAUUAGAUACCCGGGUAGUCCCAGCCGUAAACGAUGCAGACUCGGUGAUGGGUUGGCUUCGCGCUAACCCAGUGCCGCAGGGAAGCCGUUAAGUCUGCCGCCUGGGUAGUACGGUCGCAAGACUGAAACUUAAAGGAAUUGGGAGAGGCAAGCGGUACUCAGUGGGUAGGGGUAAAAUCCUCUGAUCCACUGAAGACCACGGCGGGGGAGCAC